rnacentral:rRNA from 1 species
AAGCUCGUAGUUGAAUUUCGGGGUUAGUAGGUUGGUCAUGCCUCUGGUAUGUACUGGUCUCACUGAUUCCUCCUUCCUUAUGAACCGUAAUGCCAUUAAUUUGGUGUUGCGGGGAAUUUGGACUGUUACUUUGAAAAAAUUAGAGUGUUUAAAGCAAGCUAACGCUUGAAUACAUUAGCAUGGAAUAAUGAAAUAGGACGUUCGAUCUUAUUUUGUUUGGUUUCUUGGAUUGACGUAAUGAUUAAUAGGGAUAGUUGGG